GACGAACGCUGGCGGCGUGCCUAAUACAUGCAAGUUGAGCGAUGAAGAUUGGUGCUUGCACCAAUUUGAAGAGCAGCGAACGGGUGAGUAACGCGUGGGGAAUCUGCCUUUGAGCGGGGGACAACAUUUGGAAACGAAUGCUAAUACCGCAUAACAACUUUAAACAUAAGUUUUAAGUUUGAAAGAUGCAAUUGCAUCACUCAAAGAUGAUCCCGCGUUGUAUUAGCUAGUUGGUGAGGUAAAGGCUCACCAAGGCGAUGAUACUUAGCCGACCUGAGAGGGUGAUCGGCCACAUUGGGACGGAGACACGGCCCAAACGCCUACGGGAGGCAGCAGUAGGGAAUCUUCGGCAAUGGACGAAAGUCUGACCGAGCAACGCCGCGUGAGUGAAGAAGGUUGUCGGAUCGUAAAACUCUGUUGGUAGAGAAGAACGUUGGUGAGAGUGGAAAGCUCAUCAAGUGACGGUAACUACCCAGAAAGGGACGGCUAACUACGUG
rnacentral:rRNA from 1 species